UGGCUCACCAAGACGAUGACGGUUAGCCGGCUUGAGAGGGCGACCGGCCACACUGGGACUGAGACACGGCCCAGACUCUACGGGAGGCAGCAGUGGGGAAUAUUGCACAAUGGGCGAAAGCUUGAUGCAGCGACGCCGCGUGGGGGAUGACGGCUUCGGGUUGUAAACCCUUUUCAGUAGGGAAGAAGCGAAAGUGACGGUACGUGCUAGGAAGAAGCGCCGGCUAACUACGUGCCAGCAGCCGCGGUAAUACGUAGGGCGCAAGCGUUGUCCGGAAUUAUUGGGCGUAAAGAGCUUGUAGGUGGCUUGUCGCGUUCUGCCGUGAAAACCCGAGGCUCAACCUCGGGCGUGCGGUGGGUACGGGCAGGCUAGAGUGUGGUAGGGGAGACUGGAACUCCUGGUGUAGCGGUGAAAUGCGCAGAUAUCAGGAAGAACACCGAUGGCGAAGGCAGGUCUCUGGGCCAUUACUGACACUGAGAAGCGAAAGCAUGGGUAGCGAACAGGAUUAGAUACCCUGGUAGUCCAUGCCGUAAACGUUGGGCACUAGGUGUGGGGGACAUUCCACGUUUUCCGCGCCGUACUAACGCAUUAAGUGCCCC
rnacentral:rRNA from 1 species